UACAGAGGUCCCAAGCGUUGUUCGGAUUCACUGGGCGUAAAGGGCGCGCAGGUGGUCGGGUAAGUCUGAUGUGAAAUCUCCGAGCUCAACUCGGAAAUGGCAUUGGAUACUAUUCGGCUAGAGGGUUGGAGGGGGGACUGGAAUUCUCGGUGUAGCAGUGAAAUGCGUAGAUAUCGAGAGGAACACCAGUGGCGAAGGCGAGUCCCUGGACAACUCCUGACGCUGAGGCACGAAAGCUAGGGGAGCAAACAGG
rnacentral:rRNA from 1 species